rnacentral:misc_RNA from 1 species
AACGCACAUUGCGCCCUGUGGUAUUCCGCAGGGCAUGCCUGUUCGAGCGUCAUUAUAGCCACUCAAGCCUCGCUUGGUGUUGGGGUGCGCAGCUCUGCGGCCUCUAAAAUCAGUGGCGGUGCCUGUAGGUUCUGAGCGUAGUAAUUCUUCUCGCUAUAGAGUCCUAAUGGGUUUCCAGCCAAAACCCCCAUAUUUUUUUAUAGGUUGACCUCGGAUCAGGUAGGGAUACCCGCUGAACUUAA